rnacentral:rRNA from 1 species
UGGGGAAUUUUGGACAAUGGGCGAAAGCCUGAUCCAGCAAUGCCGCGUGUGUGAAGAAGGCCUUCGGGUUGUAAAGCACUUUUGUCCGGAAAGAAAUCCUCUGGGUUAAUACCUCGGGGGGAUGACGGUACCGGAAGAAUAAGCACCGGCUAACUACGUGCCAGCAGCCGCGGUAAUACGUAGGGUGCAAGCGUUAAUCGGAAUUACUGGGCGUAAAGCGUGCGCAGGCGGUUUUGUAAGACGGAUGUGAAAUCCCCGGGCUUAACCUGGGAACUGCAUUCGUGACUGCAAUGCUAGAGUAUGGCAGAGGGGGGUAGAAUUCCACGUGUAGCAGUGAAAUGCGUAGAGAUGUGGAGGAAUACCGAUGGCGAAGGCAGCCCCCUGGGCCAAUACUGACGCUCAUGCACGAAAGCGAGGGGAGCAAACA